AGAGUUCUGGGCCGCACGCGCGCUACACUGACGGAGCCAGCGAGUACUUCCUUGUCCGAAAGGUCCGGGUAAUCUUGUUAAACUCCGUCGUGCUGGGGAUAGAGCAUUGCAAUUAUUGCUCUUCAACGAGGAAUCCCUAGUAAGCGCAAGUCAUCAGCUUGCGUUGAUUACGUCCCUGCCCUUUGUACACACCGCCCGUCGCUACUACCGAUUGAAUGGCUCAGUGAGGCGUCCGGACUGGCCCAGAGAGGUGGGCAACUACCACUCAGGGCCGGAAAGCUCUCCAAACUCGGUCAUUUAGAGGAAGUAAAAGUCGUAACAAGGUCUCCGUUGGUGAACCAGCGGAGGGAUCAUUACCGAGUUUACAACUCCCAAACCCCUGUGAACAUACCUAUACGUUGCCUCGGCGGAUCAGCCCGCGCCCUGUAAAACGGGACGGCCCGCCCGAGGACCCUAAACUCUGUUUUUAGUGGAACUUCUGAGUAAAACAAACAAAUAAAUCAAAACUUUCAACAACGGAUCUCUUGGUUCUGGCAUCGAUGAAGAACGCAGCAAAAUGCGAUAAGUAAUGUGAAUUGCAGAAUUCAGUGAAUCAUCGAAUCUUUGAACGCACAUUGCGCCCGCCAGUAUUCUGGCGGGCAUGCCUGUUCGAGCGUCAUUUCAACCCUCAAGCUCACCUUGGUGUUGGGACUCGCGGUAACCCGCGUUCCCCAAAUCGAUUGGGGGGUCACGUCGAGCUUCCAUAGCGUAAUAAUCAUACACCUCGUUACUGGUAAUCGUCGCGGCCCCCCCGUAAAACCCCCACUUCUGAAUGUUGACCUCGGAUCAGGGAGGAAUACCCCCUGAACUUAACCUAUCAAUAAGCGGAGGAAAAAAAACCAACGGGGAUGGCCUUAUUACGGGGAGGGAAGCGGCACCGCUCAAAUUUAAAAUUGGGUCUCGGCCCAGUUUAAUUUGAAAGGAGCUUUGAGGGGGGCCUCCAGUUCCCGGAAGGGGACCCUAA
rnacentral:rRNA from 1 species